UAGUCUGGAGAGGUGCCAUCGGUCCCCCUCGGCGCCAAAAUCCCUUGGAACGGGGUAUCGGAGAAGGUGAGAAUCCUGUCAAGCGCCGGAGUGGGACCGUACGAUGUGCUCUCGUAGAGUCGGGCUGCUUGGGAGUGCAGCCUGAAGCGGGUGGUAAAUUCCAUCUAAAGCUAAAUACUGGCGGGAGACCGAUAGCGAACAAGUACCGUGAGGGAAAGAUGCAAAGAACUUUGAAAAGAGAGUUAAAGAGUGCUUGAAAUUGGCAGGAGGAAACCCGGUUGCGCGUGGCAUUUGGCGUGGUCGACUCAGCCGCGCGCGGAGAUCUGUAGGGGACCUAACGGCCUCGUGGUCAGCGCGUGCGGUGCACUUCGGCCGCGUCGGUCAGCCGCGUUUCUGCGCGGUCCAUACGGCCGUGGGCAGGGCUUCGGCGCCGCCUGCGGUUUGGGGGUCGCGCGGGAUCCCGGCUGAUGCGCACGGGCGCAACCGACCCGUCUAGAAACACGGACCAAGGAGUCUGACGCGUGUGCG
rnacentral:rRNA from 1 species